ensembl:lncRNA
CUAGUUCUGUAGCCUGACGGAGUUUACAGAGGGGGAAAAAGGUAGCCUAGUGUUGGCCACUCAUUUUGGAAUAGUGGAUUUUCGUCCGUUUGACACCAGUGAUGCCCUUCAAAGAUGACAAAGCACUUGAUGCGAGAAAGAUAAGACAUUUUUUUUAAAGAAGCAACAUUCUGAAGAGACAGUGUAGGGAUGCUUGAGCGUUGUCACAGCGACACAUCUUGCUAGGACAAUGUGCACGCGCCCCGCCGGGAGAGAGGAGGGAGCGUGAGCGAGCGAAAGGGGCAAUCGCACAAGCGCAGCAUAUUUUAAGUCUAUACCAGUCGGAGGAGAAUCACGGAAACCGUGGAACGCUGUUACCCAGCGACGAAGCAGGCAAGCACCACCAAAUCGUCCAAGGAAUGGUGUGACAACGGUGUAGAAGUCAAAGACGAGGGCAAAAUCAAAGGAUUCCUUUUGAAAAACCCUUGGAAUCCUGCGAUCCCCUUGGAACACAUAACAGGUGUGGACUCCGACUGCAAAACCUAAACCUAUAGGAGAGGGUCUGGGUGGGCAUCUAUCCGCCGGGACGGCUCUGGUGCGGGACGUGGACCCCACUCCACCUUAGGCUUGGCCCACUUAGGUGGCACCUCUGGAGCGGGGACCCUCGCAGCGGGCCCCGGACAGGUGGGCGACUCUGGCAGCUCCAGACAGGCGG